GCACUGUCCCCUUCUGGUCUCAACACCAGGGUCAACUACUUCUGGGUCUUCCGUAUUCUUCUGGAUCCCUCCUGGAGGCGCAGAAAGCUUUGGUCUGCUGCUCCGUGGCCAGGAACUGUCAGGCCCUCCUUUAGUCUUUAGUGACUGAAAACUCAAGAGUCAAGAGACAAGACAUAGGUGCAGGUCUUGGAGCUUCAGUUUCUUCUUUAUCUGCUCUAGAGAAUUCGAAGAAGAAUUCCCUGUCAACCUCCCGGAUGGAGAGUGGACCAAAGAAUGAGGAUGUGUUUCCAAAAGCCAAGAAAGAUUGGAGAAGCUAAACAUUUACCAAUUGCCCUUUGCCUUCAAGAAUGGUGUGAUGGACCCAAGCAGUUAAUUGAAAGAGUGCAAACAAAGAAGCUCAAAAACAAGUCCUAUCAAACA